rnacentral:lncRNA from 13 species
CAUUUUCAUGAUUGUAUUAAUACCUUGUAUUAUUUUUACAAGUCUGUAUUAGAUAAUAAAAAGGAAAGAAAGCAGUUGACUUAGAUCAUGUAUGAAAACCAAUACACAAUCACUGGUUCCAGAAGCCUGGGCUGGUGGUGUAGAGAACAUAAACUGGAAUAAAGAAAAACUAUUUGGGAUUUAUAAUGGAGACUCGGUAAGACUAAGUAAAGAAACUGCUACAGGGUUGUUUACGAAAUUUGCUUCAUAAGUGAAAUUUAAAUGCUAGCAUUUAUAAAGUUAUUUCUAAUAUUAUACACAUUUAAGUUACUAAUCAAUUAAUCUUGUAAUAAAUGCUUCUUGCUUAGGUGUUAUAUGCCUAUGGCUUUGAUGAGUGGAUUGUGUGAGACCUCAAGAGGAUAAGUUCUUGAUCUCUGGGACUCACUAAGAAGAGGAGAUUGACAUUUGGUUCAGCGGACUGGGAAGGGAUGAUCCAUCCUCGAUGUGUGUGGGCACCAUCCUCGGCUGCCAGCGUGGCUAGAACAAAGCAGGUGGAAAAGAGAUAUAUCUCAACACUGAUUAGAGUGGAGAGCUCAGGGCUAACCCAGAAAACUAAGCCUCGGUACAGCAGGAAAGAUAAGAUUCCAGAAGACUUCAAAUCGCAGAGCAGCAGAAAAAGAGACAGAUGGGCAGUAAAGACAAAACUCUGCACAAUCUUGUGAUGAUGAUGUUAUGAACUUGUGACCAUCGAAUGGAGUCAGCCAUUUGGCAAAUGUCCUUAUGAUCUGUUUUCACAACGUGGAACUUAUUUCCCACCACCUUUUUUGUUCAGAAGGAUGCAGCGAAAAGGCCCUCACCAGAUGCCAGCUCCUUGAUCUUGGAUUCCACAGCUUCCAGAAUGAUGAAUCAAUAAAUUUCUCUUCAUUUAAAAUUACCCA